rnacentral:lncRNA from 1 species
UUUAACAGUUCUUGGGCAGCAAUUAGCAAAUGGGUCAAGUAAUUACUAUUUAAUGUAGUUGCCCUUCUAGAUAAUAUGCUGUUGCUUUUAACAUUGGGUUAGGAAAUGAGAUUCUAGGUGUGGAAUUGAGGAUAUGAAGUAUUCCUCAGGUUGGCAGCUGGAUGAACAUGUCCAAAUUUUAAGGAUUUGGGAGUCUGCAGCACAUAGGUGAUGCAUCUGGACCAGAAUUUUGAGUAAAAAGAGCAGAAUGCAAGGAAAUUGAGAAUGAUGGAGGCUAUAGAAGUGCUACCCUGUUAGUAGGAAACGAGGAGAGCUUGCGGAAGCCUCGAGCAAGGACAAGCUCAGGAAGAGGCAGCAGUCAACUACAUCAAUGCUGCUGAGAAAUGCCCAUUGGAUCUAACCAUGCCAAGGUCACAGGUGACCUCAACAAGAACAGCUGGAGAAGAUGAGAGAAACCAAAAAAGUUUGCUGCAAAGAAUGGUAGUACUAGUUCAAACCCCAAGAGAGUAAAAGGCGUCCCACUUAUCUAAAUAUUUAAAUUGUAAAUGAAACUAAUACCUGUCACAGAAAAGAUAAUGCAUCCAUAUAUUUUGAAAAAAAGUUACUUUGAGGGUUUGGUGGUGCACAUCUAUAAUCCCAGCUACUCCAAGGCUGAGGCAGGAGGAUUGCCAGUUUGGGACCAGCCUCAGCAAUUUAGAAAGCUCAUGUCUCAAAAAGUAGAGGGCUGGGUAGAGAAUCCCUGGGUUCAAUCUCCCAUUAUUGAAAGAG